rnacentral:rRNA from 1 species
UGGAGGGCAAGUUCUGGUGCCAGCAGCCGCGGUAAUUCCCAGCUCCAGUAGCGUAUAUUAAAGUUGCUGCAGUUAAAAAAGCUCGUAGUUGAAUUUCUGUUUGUAAGAGUCGAAGCUUUACAGCUAAGAUUUCUUCGAACAUCUGUUUGCAAGCAUACGUUCGGCCUUCACUGGUUGGCUAUGUAAGCAAGCGCUUUUACCUUGAGAAAAUUGAGUGUUCCAGGCAGGCUUCAGCCGGAAUACAUUAGCAUGGAAUAAUGGAAUAGGACUGGGGACUAUUUAUUGGUUUGAGGCUCCAGUAAUGAUUAAUAGGAACAGUCGGGGGCAUUGGUACUUAACAGUCAGAGGUGAAAUUCUUGGAUUUGUUAAAGACUAACUAAUGCGAAAGCAUUUGCAAGCAUGUUUUCAUUAAUCAAGAACGAAAGUUAGGGGGAUCAAAGACGAUUAGAUACCGUCCUAG